rnacentral:rRNA from 1 species
AUUGAACGCUGGCGGCAGGCCUAACACAUGCAAGUCGAACGGUAACAGGAAGAAGCUUGCUUCUUUGCUGACGAGUGGCGGACGGGUGAGUCAUGUCUGGGAAACUGCCUGAUGGAGGGGGAUAACUACUGGAAACGGUAGCUACUACCGCAUAACGUCGCAAGACCAAAGAGGGGGACCUUCGGGCCUCUUGCCAUCGGAUGUGCCCAGAUGGGAUUAGCUAGUAGGUGGGGUAACGGGUCACCUAGGCGACGAUCCCUAGCUGGUCUGAGAGGAUGACCGGCCACACUGGAGCUGAGACACGGUCCAGACUCCUACGGGAGGCAGCAGUGGGGAAUAUUACACAGUGGGCGCAAGCCUGAUGCAGCCAUGCCGCGUGUAUGAAGAAGGCCUUCGGGUUGUAAAGUACUUUCAGCGGGGAGGAAGGGAGUAAAGUUAAUACCUUUGCUCAUUGACGUUACCCGCAGAAGAAGCACCGGCUAACUCCGUG